GUGUCAGCCGCCGCGGUAAUACGAAGGGGGCUAGCGUUGUUCGGAAUCACUGGGCGUAAAGGGCGCGUAGGCGGCUGUUCAAGUCGGGGGUGAAAUCCCGUGGCUCAACCACGGAAUGGCCUUCGAUACUGGACGGCUCGAGACCGGAAGAGGUGAGUGGAACUGCGAGUGUAGAGGUGAAAUUCGUAGAUAUUCGCAAGAACACCAGUGGCGAAGGCGGCUCACUGGUCCGGUUCUGACGCUGAGGCGCGAAAGCGUGGGGAGCAAACAGGAUUAGAAACCCUCGUAGUCC
rnacentral:rRNA from 1 species